UACAGAGGUCUCAAGCGUUGUUCGGAUUCAUUGGGCGUAAAGGGUGCGUAGGUGGCAUGGUAAGUCGGAUGUGAAAUCCCGGGGCUCAACCCCGGAACUGCAUUCGAUACUGCCAGGCUAGAGUACUGGAGAGGAGAUUGGAAUUUACGGUGUAGCAGUGAAAUGCGUAGAUAUCGUAAGGAAGACCAGUGGCGAAGGCGGAUCUCUGGACAGUUACUGACACUGAGGCACGAAGGCCAGGGGAGCAACGGG
rnacentral:rRNA from 1 species